ACGAUGAAGCCCAGCUUGCUGGGUGGAUUAGUGGCGAACGGGUGAGUUACACGUGAGUAACCUGCCCUCGACUCUGGGAUAAGCCCGGGAAACUGGGUCUAAUACUGGAUAUUCAAUUUCUACCGCAUGGUGGUUUUUGGAAAGGAUUCUGGUCGAGGAGGGACUCGCGGCCUAUCAGCUUGUUGGUGAGGUAAUGGCUCACCAAGGCGACGACGGGUAGCCGGCCUGAGAGGGUGACCGGCCACACUGGGACUGAGACACGGCCCAGACUCCUACGGGAGGCAGCAGUGGGGAAUAUUGCACAAUGGGCGAAAGCCUGAUGCAGCGACGCCGCGUGAGGGAUGACGGCCUUCGGGUUGUAAACCUCUUUCAGUAGGGAAGAAGCGAAAGUGACGGUACCUGCAGAAGAAGCGCCGGCUAACUACGUGCCAGCAGCCGCGGUAAUACGUAGGGCGCAAGCGUUAUCCGGAAUUAUUGGGCGUAAAGAGCUCGUAGGCGGUUUGUCGCGUCUGCCGUGAAAGUCCGGGGCUUAACUCCGGAUCUGCGGUGGGUACGGGCAGACUAGAGUGCUGUAGGGGAGACUGGAAUUCCUGGUGUAGCGGUGAAAUGCGCAGAUAUCAGGAGGAACACCGAUGGCGAAGGCAGGUCUCUGGGCAGUAACUGACGCUGAGGAGCGAAAGCAUGGGGAGCGAACAGGAUUAGAUACCCUGGUAGUCCAUGCCGUAAACGUUGGGCACUAGAUGUGGGGGACAUUCCACGUUUUCCGCGUCGUAGCUAACGCAUUAAGUGCCCCGCCUGGGGAGUACGGCCGCAAGGCUAAAACUCAAAGGAAUUGACGGGGGCCCGCACAAGCGGCGGAGCAUGCGGAUUAAUUCGAUGCAACGCGAAGAACCUUACCAAGGCUUGACAUGGACCGGAUCGGGCUAGAAAUAGUCUUUCCCUUCGGGGCUGGUUCACAGGUGGUGCAUGGUUGUCGUCAGCUCGUGUCGUGA
rnacentral:rRNA from 1 species